rnacentral:rRNA from 1 species
GGCGAACGCUGGCGGCAUGCUUAACACAUGCAAGUCUCACGGGCAGCAACGUCAGUGGCGGACGGGUGAGUAACGCGUAGGUAUCUAUCUCUGGGUGGGGGAUAACUAUGGGAAACUACAGCUAAUACCGCAUGAUGACUGAGGUCCAAAGGCGCAAGUCACCUGGAGAGGAGCCUGCGUACGAUUAGCUUGUGGUGGGGUAAAGCCUACCAAGGCGACGAUCGUUAGCUGGUCUGAGAGGAUGAUCAGCCACAUUGGGACUGAGACACGGGCCCAAGCUCCUACGGGAGGCAGCAGUGGGGAAUAUUGGACAAUGGGCGAAAGCCUGAUCCAGCAAUGCCGCGUGUGUGAAGAAGGUCUUCGGGAUUGUAAAGUACUUUC